rnacentral:tRNA from 1 species
UAGAAUAUGGUGUAGAAGGUAGCACGGAGAGUUUUGAGUUCUCAGGUAUAGGUUCAACUCCUAUAGUUCUAG